UUAACUUCCCAAAUCACACAUCACUUCACAACUCAACACUCAUCACUUAAAACCCUAACGCGCCGCACCUGGAGACUCCCCCGCACCUCCGCCGUUGCGACGCUGCACCUCCGCCCUUGCACCGCCGCCGCAACUCCACCCUUGCACCGCUGCUCCAUACACCAUCGCACUCUUCAUUCAUUCCUCUCGAUCAGGUUCAGGUGCGGUCUUCAUUCUUUCCAAAUCUUCUUCUCGAAAUCACCUCUCGAUCAGGUUCAGGAUUGCGUGUGAUCUACAUUACGGGGUUUGAUCGAGUUGGGUUUUCUCCAAGUUUCAAGAGAGUUCUGUGAAAGAAGGAGAUAAUCCAGAUGAGAAAGUGUUGGUCUUGAGUUCAGAACUAGAACACCAAGCCAAGAGGAACCAGAACAGCUUUUAAUAUCAAGAAAAUUUCAAGUGACAAGGAUCUAGGUUGUUGGGAUGUAUUUCUGAAGACCCAUCGAUAUAAAAAAGAUCCCACAAAGUUUGUCUCCCCAGUAGCAGAACAAAUUGCAGCUGAUUAUGAAAGAAGUGUUACUGUACGAGACUCACAAGAGAAUGUUGAAGGUGCCAACAAAAAAUCUGAUGAUGAUAUCUACUUGGAGGUUGUUGGAGGUGUGAACACAAAGGGGAGGAUAUAUGGAUUGGGGCAACUAGCUGAAAAAUAUAAACGUUCUGCAACAACUGUUGACAUCUCACUUUCAGAGCAUGAGACCAUGAGGCAUCUUGUUUCUAAAUUAUCAGAUGAAAAUGCGAUGCUUAAGGAUCAAAUGAAGAGUUAUGAUGAGAAGUUUGAAUUCAUGCAGAGAUUCAUCAUUGAGAGAACCAGUCAAUGUCCUUCAACCUCUGCUAAUCCACCUACCAACCAGCAGAAUCCAGAUGAUGGUGAUGAUGAUAAUGAGUUUGAAGAUUAGUGUAAUGACCUUCCAUUACUACCAAACAUGUUCUGUUACUGAAGUUAUGUAUUUUGAUUUGUGCUUUGGUGAUGUCUUUUAUGUUUGUGUUAUUGUACUAUGUUGUCUUUUAGAUUUGUGAUAUGAAUUGUACUGUGGUUAUGAAGACAGUGUCUAUUAUCUUAUAUAUGUUGACUUUAUGUCUUAAUAUGGAUGUGAAACUUUUAUUCGA